UACGUAGGGUGCAAGCGUUGUCCGGAAUUAUUGGGCGUAAAGAGCUCGUAGGCGGUCUGUCGCGUCGGCUGUGAAAUCCCGAGGCUCAACCUCGGGUCUGCAGUCGAUACGGGCAAACUAGAGUAUUGCAGGGGAGACUGGAAUUCCUGGUGUAGCGGUGAAAUGCGCAGAUAUCAGGAGGAACGCCGGUGGCGAAGGCGGGUCUCUGGGCAAUAACUGACGCUGAGGAGCGAAAGCAUGGGGAGCGAACAGG
rnacentral:rRNA from 1 species